UGAAUAUGGGGGGACCAUCCUCCAAGGCUAAAUACUCCUGACUGACCGAUAGUGAACCAGUACCGUGAGGGAAAGGCGAAAAGAACCCCGGCGAGGGGAGUGAAAAAGAACCUGAAACCGUGUACGUACAAGCAGUGGGAGCCUCUUUAUGGGGUGACUGCGUACCUUUUGUAUAAUGGGUCAGCGACUUAUAUUCUGUAGCAAGGUUAACCGAAUAGGGGAGCCGAAGGGAAACCGAGUCUUAACUGGGCGUUAAGUUGCAGGGUAUAGACCCGAAACCCGGUGAUCUAGCCAUGGGCAGGUUGAAGGUUGGGUAACACUAACUGGAGGACCGAACCGACUAAUGUUGAAAAAUUAGCGGAUGACUUGUGGCUGGGGGUGAAAGGCCAAUCAAACCGGGAGAUAGCUGGUUCUCCCCGAAAGCUAUUUAGGUAGCGCCUCGUGAAUUCAUCUCCGGGGGUAGAGCACUGUUUCGGCAAGGGGGUCAUCCCGACUUACCAACCCGAUGCAAACUGCGAAUACCGGAGAAUGUUAUCACGGGAGACACACGGCGGGUGCUAACGUCCGUCGUGAAGAGGGAAACAACCCAGACCGCCAGCUAAGGUCCCAAAGUCAUGGUUAAGUGGGAAACGAUGUGGGAAGGCCCAGACAGCCAGGAUGUUGGCUUAGAAGCAGCCAUCAUUUAAAGAAAGCGUAAUAGCUCACUGGUCGAGUCGGCCUGCGCGGAAGAUGUAACGGGGCUAAACCAUGCACCGAAGCUGCGGCAGCGACACUAUGUGUUGUUGGGUAGGGGAGCG
rnacentral:rRNA from 1 species